GACGAACGCUGGCGGCGUGCUUAACACAUGCAAGUCGAACGGAAAGGCCCUGCUUUUGUGGGGUGCUCGAGUGGCGAACGGGUGAGUAACACGUGAGUAACCUGCCCUUGACUUUGGGAUAACUUCAGGAAACUGGGGCUAAUACCGGAUAGGAGCGCCUGCUGCAUGGUGGGGGUUGGAAAGUUUCGGCGGUUGGGGAUGGACUCGCGGCUUAUCAGCUUGUUGGUGGGGUAGUGGCUUACCAAGGCUUUGACGGGUAGCCGGCCUGAGAGGGUGACCGGCCACAUUGGGACUGAGAUACGGCCCAGACUCCUACGGGAGGCAGCGGUGGGGAAUAUUGCACAAUGGGCGGAAGCCUGAUGCAGCAACGCCGCGUGCGGGAUGACGGCCUUCGGGUUGUAAACCGCUUUCGCCUGUGACGAAGCGUGAGUGACGGUAAUGGGUAAAGAAGCACCGGCUAACUACGUG
rnacentral:rRNA from 1 species